CCUACGGGAGGCAGCAGUGAGGAAUAUUGCGCAAUGGAGGAAACUCUGACGCAGCGACGCCGCGUGAAGGAUGAAUGCCCUCUGGGUUGUAAACUUCUGUAGAGAGGGAAGAAUGUCCGCCUUCGGCGGAUUGACGGUACCUCUAAAGUAAGCAUCGGCUAACUACGUGCCAGCAGCCGCGGUAAU
rnacentral:rRNA from 1 species